rnacentral:rRNA from 1 species
UAUUUCAGGUGUAGCCGGUGAAAUGCGUAGAGAUCUGGAGGAAUACCUGGUGGCGAAGGGCGGCCCCUUGGACAAAGACUGACGCUCAGGUGCGAAAGCGUGGGGAGCAAACAGGAUUAGAUACCGUGGUAGUCCACGCCGUAAACGAUGUCGACUUGGAGGUUGUGCCCUUGAGGCGUGGCUUCCGGAGCUAACGCGUUAAGUCGACCGCCUGGGGAGUACGGCCGCAAGGUUAAAACUCAAAUGAAUUGACGGGGGCCCGCACAAGCGGUGGAGCAUGUGGUUUAAUUCGAUGCAACGCGAAGAACCUUACCUACUCUUGACAUCCAGAGAACUUAGCAGAGAUGGAUUGGCGCCUUCGGGAACUCUGAGACAGGUGCUGCAUGGCUGUCGUCAGCUCGUGUUGUGAAAUGUUGGGUUAAGUCCCGCAACGAGCGCAACCCUUAUCCUUUGUUGCCAGCGGUUCGGCCGGGAACUCAAAGGAGACUGCCAGUGAUAAACUGGAGGAAGGUGGGGAUGACGUCAAGUCAUCAUGGCCCUUACGAGUAGGGCUACACACGUGCUACAAUGGCGUAUACAAAGAGAAGCGACCUCGCGAGAGCAAGCGGACCUCAUAAAGUAUGUCGUAGUCCGGAUUGGAGUCUGCAACUCGACUCCAUGAAGUCGGAAUCGCUAGUAAUCGUGGAUCAGAAUGCCACGGUGAAUACGUUCCCGGGCCUUGUACACACCGCCCGUCACACCAUGGGAGUGGGUUGCAAAAGAAGUAGGUAGCUUAAUCACGCUCAGAUGCUUAGUAGAUUUUUUUAAAU